UGUUAGGGCACGACACCGGAGAGGGAGCCUGAGAAACGGCUACCACAUCCAAGGAUGGCAGCAGGCGCGCAAAUUACCCAAUCCCGACACGGGGAGGUAGUGACAAUAAAUAACAAUACGGGGUUCUUUCGGAUCUCGUAAUUGGAAUGAGUACAAUUUAAAUCUCUUAACGAGGAACAAUUGGAGGGCAAGUCUGGUGCCAGCAGCCGCGGUAAUUCCAGCUCCAAUAGCGUAUAUUAAAGUUGUUGCAGUUAAAAAGCUCGUAGUUGAAUUUCGGGGUUAGUAGGUUGGUCAUGCCUCUGGUAUGUACUGGUCUCACUGAUUCCUCCUUCCUGAUGAACCGUAAUGCCAUUAAUUUGGUGUUUCGGGGAAUUUGGACUGUUACUUUGAAAAAAUUAGAGUGUUUAAAGCAAGCUAACGCUUGAAUACAUUAGCAUGGAAUAAUGAAAUAGGACGUUCGAUCCUAUUUUGUUGGUUUCUAGGAUUGACGUAAUGAUUAAUAGGGAUAGUUGGGGGCAUUAGUAUUCAAUUGUCAGAGGUGAAAUUCUUGGAUUUAUUGAAGACUAACUACUGCGAAAGCAUUUGCCAAGGAUGUUUUCAUUAAUCAAGAACGAAAGUUAGGGGAUCGAAGACGAUCAGAUACCGUCGUAGUCUUAACCAUAAACUAUGCCGACUAGGGAUCGGAUGAUGUUA
rnacentral:rRNA from 1 species